UACGAAGGGGGCUAGCGUUGCUCGGAAUCACUGGGCGUAAAGCGCACGUAGGCGGAUUGUUAAGUCAGGGGGUGAAAUCCUGGAGCUCAACUCCAGAACUGCCUUUGAUACUGGCGAUCUCGAGUCCGGGAGAGGUGAGUGGAACUGCGAGUGUAGAGGUGAAAUGCGCAGAUAUCAGGAAGAACACCUAUGGCGAAGGCAGCUCUCUGGGACGGUACUGACGCUGAGACGCGAAAGCGUGGGGAGCGAACAGG
rnacentral:rRNA from 1 species